UUUGGAAAACAAUGUGCAGAUUCUUCAAAAAAUAAAAAUAGAACUACCAUAUGACCCAGCAAUCCCACUUCUGGGUACAUAUCCAGGGAAAUGAAAUUAGUGUCUCAAAGGGAUAUCUGCACUCCAAUGUUCAUUGUAGUGUUAUUUACAAUAGCCAAGACAUUAAAACAUCAAAGAC